CUCAGCCCAUUUUAUGCCCCCUGUUCCUUUGUGUGUCUCUUUUCUCCCAAGCCAUGUAGACAUAGAUUUACAGGCAACAAUGCAUAAAGAUGCAAACAUACAGACACACAACCAUACAGGCACACAGACUUUGUUAUACAAGCACAAAGUUACAAAGUUAUACAGACGUUCAGUCACACAAACAAACAAACAGUCAUACAGGCACACAAUAAUACAAGCUACACAUACAGGUACACUGCCAUACAAACACAGACAUACAGACAUUGUCAAAGAUAGACAUACAGAGAACAUAUGGUAAUUGGGGGGCACACCUGGAACAAACAUUUCUAAGUAGCGGUGCUGCCAUAAAGACCAAAAAUGUUGGUAGUAUGUGAGCUGUUCCCUAAUCUGUAUUAUGUAUACAGAGUCAUACGGACACAGUCAUACAAAGACAUAUAGACACAGACAUACAGUCAUACAGAGACAUACAGACAUAAAGAGAUAUACAGACUCUUGGGUGGCAGCAAGGACCAUAGUACACAUCAGCCCCAAUACAUACUGUAAAAAAACAGAGAAUUUUUUUAUUUUUUCCUUUUUUUCCUUUGGUUUAUACAGAGAUAUACAAAAACACAUAGAGACAUUCAGACACAGACAUAUAGAUACAUACAGACAGAAUCACACAGAGACAUACAGACACAGACAUACAGAGACAUACAUACACAGACAUAUAGUCAUACAGAGACAGAGAGAAGGCAUACAGAAUCAUACAGACAUACAACCAUACAGAGACAUACAUACACAGACAUAUAAUCAUACAGAGACAUACAGAGAAAGGCAUACAGAGACAUAUAUACAGUCAUACAGACUUACAGACAUGCAGACAUAGUCAUACAGAGACAUUCAUAGUUACAUAGUUACAUAGCUGAAAAGAGACUUGCGUCCAUCAAGUUCAGUCUUCCUCACAUUUGUUUUUUGCUGACAUUCAGACAUAAAGACCCAGGUGGUCAAACAUGUAGUCACAAUUACAUACUUACCUUUCAGCCCUAUGCAAUCAGGUCCCUGGGAAGCAUGCUGUCCAACUCUGUGAUCUGUGGAGUUCCAAUGCUGUAGCCCAGCCCCAUCUCUUGGAGUCAGUGUGCUGCAUAGGGAGCAGGGAUAUGACGUGAUUCAUAUCUUAUCCCCUCCAAAGAGCUUUUGGCAUGCACCAGAGUCGGAGGCCGGCUGGGCAGAGGUGCUGGAGCUCAGCCAUGCUACAUGAAGUGAUCAGCAGGAGAGGAGCUUCCCUCCUGCCAGUCACCGGACAUUGUGCCCCCAGGCCCGUGUACCCUAAGGUGGCUGCCUGUGGCACCUUAUUUUAGUUCCUGCCCUGUAUAUAAGUAGCAAAAAUAUGUUUAAAAAGUAAGAUCUCAGAGGGUUGCUUUUUGUUCAAUUUCAAACUUCAAAAUUUGGCAAAAUAAAAAAACCCCCACUGCUUUAAUUUUCAGAAUCCAACCUCGCUAUUGAGUUCAGUAACAAAAAUAGUAUUUGCCCUGCAAUUCCCAUUAAAUGGUUUAAUGUGAUUUCAAGAGGACACAAAAGGCACCUAGACCAUUUCAUCUCAAUGAAGUGGUCUGGGUUCCGAGCUUAUGUCAUCUUGACCCUGCACAGUAAAAAAUGGGAAGCUUUGGAUUGGCUGAGAUCAUCAAGAUUAAUAUUCUCAGUAUGGUGAGAACAGACCGCUGUGGGAAAUAAGUUAAAUAAAUCAUUUUAAACCUUUUAAAACCCUUAAGGGGGAGGGACCUAAAUAGCGAGGAGAACACUAGAGUGUUCCUUUAACACUUCACACUUCAGAGCAGCAUGCUAUGCAUACAAUAGUCCUUAAUGGCUUAAGUCCAUGUCAAUCUUUUGUGUAAUUCUCUCUAUAUUCUCUAUUUACUGCCCCCUCCUCUCUCCAUCUCCCAGUCACACAUUAUUCACCAUCGUUUUCUCUCUUAGAG